UACAGAGGUCUCAAGCGUUGUUCGGAAUCACUGGGCGUAAAGGGUGCGUAGGUGGCGUGGUAAGUCAGAUGUGAAAGCCCGGGGCUCAACCUCGGAACUGCAUCCGAUACUACCAUGCUGGAGUACUGAAGAGGUGACUAGAAUUCUCGGUGUAGCAGUGAAAUGCGUAGAUAUCGAGAGGAAUACCAAAGGCGAAGGCAGGUCACUGGGCAGUUACUGACACUGAGGCACGAAGGCCAGGGGAGCAAACGGG
rnacentral:rRNA from 1 species